GAUUUAGACCUGGGACACCAGGUGGGUGAUUCCCCUCUAAUCAGGGACUGAUUUAGACCUGGGACACCAGGUGGGUGAUUCCCCUCUAAUCAGGGCCUGAUUUAGACCUGGGACACCAGGUGGGUGAUUCCCCUCUAAUCAGGGACUGAUUUAGACCUGGGACACCAGGUGGGUGAUUCCCCUCUAAUCAGGGCCUGAUUUAGACCUGGGACACCAGGUGGGUGAUUCCCCUCUAAUCAGGGACUGAUUUAGACCUGGGACACCAGGUGGGUGAUUCCCCUCUAAUCAGGGACUGAUUUAGACCUGGGACACCAGGUGGGUGAUUCCCCUCUAAUCAGGGCCUGAUUUAGACCUGGGACACCAGGUGGGUGAUUCCCCUCUAAUCAGGGACUGAUUUAGACCUGGGACACCAGGUGGGUGAUUCCCCUCUAAUCAGGGCCUGAUUUAGACCUGGGACACCAGGUGGGUGAUUC